rnacentral:lncRNA from 1 species
AUGUUUCUGAGGCUUAAGAAGCCACUGCAUGUGUCAGCGGGAACAGGGUGGAACAAGGUGCAUAAGACUUCCCACCUGGGGAAGGAGCAGCAGCCACCGCCACUCCCAGGCUUCCAGCAUCACUGCAGCAGCUCCAUCACCAUCAGCAUGCGGAGCCCCCUGGCACAUCAUUCAUGGAGGAGGGCAUCUUGGACCUGGAACAGGACAGCACGCCCUUCUCUUCCAAGCCAGCGUCUCCCCACCACAUCCCCAGGGUCCAGCCCUGGGGCUCCGGCUGGGAUUGUGCUGCCUCGACAGCCCCUGAGCCAUGGAGCUGUAAGCGUAUGAAAUGCUCCCUCCUACCCACCCAAGUUUGCUUCCGGUCCUGCUCACCCACGUCACACUCACUCUUCGGGCUCCUGGGGACGCUGCCUAGACAGCCUCGCGUUGCCAGGGUCCUUGCUUGCCACUGAGGCUCUCAGAGAACCUUCAGAAAGGACACAGCCACCAAUCAGGAGCAGUGGGAGGUGCCCCACACAACCGCCCCAGCCCUUCGGGCCCUGGGUGCGGUCACCCACUUUGUUUCUCAAGGGAAAGCAAAGCUCACGGCUCCUGCACCUCUGUCCAGCACGACACGAGUCCUGUGUUUUCUCACCAUCAGAGCCUUACACUGCUUUUCAGUCCUAAGGCCACAUCCGGUUUUUCAUCUUAUUGUACCUUGAAUGAUGGUAUUUUCUUUGUUCACGGGAAGUGCUCGGGCCUUCCGAUGUGAACAGCUAAUGCCCACUACUACCUAUUUCGCUUAUGACACAACGAGCAUGCUCUCUGCAUCUCUGUGCCGACAUCGGAUGUGAAGUUUGACAAGACAGGCGUAAAGGCACAGCUCUGGAGCAUGUCGUCCAACCCCAUAGCCUGGCAGCAGCUCACUGACCGAGUCCUGUGAGCACCCGGGAGCAGCCCUCGACACGGACAUCUCCUUGUUACCGUCAAAUCCACACUUUCUGUAUUUGCCCCACAAAGAUGUCACCAGCAGCUUUGCAAGCACCCUAAUGACAGCCAGGCUCACGGUCUAAAGGACUGAAUGGAAUUCAGUUCCAUCGCUGCAUCUCUCACCACCCUGCCCUGCGUCCACUUCCUUUCCCUGGAUCCGCACAACUGCCUCAUUCCAACCUCACCGCUGGGGAAGAUGUUUCUCCCGUCCUGGUGCCCACAUCUGACAUUGCUGCAUCAACUUCUCUGGUGAGUGUUAAUGCAGGCGCCCUCGAAGCUGUCCGAGGGGUGGAGAGAAGAAUCAGGAAACUUUUCCUGUGAAGGAGCAAACAAUAAGUAUUCCAUGCUUUGCCAGUCGGGAGGUCUCUGAUAGGGCAGCCCUGCCGCUAGACCACAAAAUCAACCACAGACAACACAGCAUAAACACACGGGUAGGGCUGCGUCUCAACAAAACUGUACUGACGAGCAAUGACACUUGAAUUUCAUAUCACUCUCCCAUCACCAAAGAAAGUUGUUUCUUUGUAUUUUCUCUCCUGCCAUUUAAAAAUGUAGAGCUUAUAGGACAGACAGAAACAGCUGGUAGACCAGGUUCAACCCAUAAGCCUUUUUGGAAAGCUCUUGCUAUAGAGUAAAAGAACACAGAUGCGACCUCAGGCCUGAGUCUUUCAGCUCCAGAUACUGGGUCUUGGACACCCCAAACCCUUUGGCUCUGCGCACUUGCAAGCAGGGAUAAGACAGAGUGUGAAGCCCAGGGCUAUGCGGGCCGCACUGGGGAGGGGAUCAGAGCCCUGUAAGUCGGUUACCCCAGCCUGCAUCUCUGGCUGGACCUCUUUCGUUCUAAGUGCCCCAAACACUGGCUUGUAAUUUCUUAUAUAAACUGGCCAGGCCUUAAACACAGCAUAUUCCCUUUACAGAAAGCCCAGUUGCUAGACUACACUGCUGUGAUCCCCCGAUUGCUCUAAAAUUCCUAAAGGAUUGGGCAGUCACGUCCCGGGGAUUAUCAGGGCUCUGGCCUGUAUCCCAGAGAACUAUAGAUUGGAAGGUGCUCAAGGGGUUUCUCCCAGGCAUUUGUGUCUCCCCUAGUAUGGGCUCGAGAUAGUUCUCAGUAAAGAGUAAGGAUAAGUGAUCCACCCCCUACAGAUCAAUGUCACCCCACCAGCCAUGGUCUAAAUACUAAUGUCCCUCUAAAACUCCCAUGCAGAAACUUCACCUCCAUCGUGGUGGGACUUGGGACCCAAGACAGAGCUCUCAUCCUCCCUCACACGAGGACAUAACAAGAGCACAGCUGUCUAUGAACUGGAAAUCAAGUCCUCACUAGGCACCAGUUCUGCCAGCGUCUUGACCUCAGAUUUCUCACCUCCAGAAGCAUGAGAAAUAAAUUCCCACUGUUUAUGAGCCACUAGUCUAUGGUAUUUAUUACAGCAGCUGUGUUGGUUUGGGGCUUAUUUUGCA